GCUUAGCCACAAAACCUAGAUAUCUUUAUAUCCGCCAGAGUACUACAAGCAACAGCCUAAAACUCAAAAGACUUGGCGGUGUCCUAAAUCCAUCCAGAGGAGCCUGUUCUAUAAUCGAUAACCCACGUUUAACCUAACCACCAUUAGCCAACUCAGCCUAUAUACCGCCGUCGCCAGCAUACCUUAUUAAAAGCAUUAAAGUAAGCAAAAAUGAUUUAACAAAUACGUCAGGUCAAGGUGUAGCAUAUAUUGUGGUAAGAAAUGGGCUACAUUUUUUUCAAAAAAAUAUUUACGGAUAACAAAAUGAAAAUACAUUUAAAGGCGGAUUUGGCAGUAAGAAGAAAUCAUCAUACUCUUCUAAAAUUGGCCCUAGGACACGC
rnacentral:rRNA from 1 species